rnacentral:rRNA from 1 species
GCGGUGAAAUGCAUAGAUAUCACGCAAGAACCCCGAUUGCGAAGGCAGCAUACCGGUGCACAACUGACGCUCAGGCACGAAAGCGUGGGUAUCGAACAGGAUUAGAUACCCUGGUAGUCCACGCAGUAAACGAUGAAUGCUACCUGUUUGGCCAGAUUGAAGGCUGAGCGGGACAGCGAAAGCGUUAAGCAUUCCACCUGGGGAGUACGCCGGCAACGGUGAAACUCAAAGGAAUUGACGGGGGCCCGCACAAGCGGAGGAACAUGUGGUUUAAUUCGAUGAUACGCGAGGAACCUUACCCGGGCUCAAACGCAUACUGACGACAGUUGAAAGAUUGUUUCCCUUCGGGGCAUUAUGCGAGGUGCUGCAUGGUUGUCGUCAGCUCGUGCCGUGAGGUGUCGGCUUAAGUGCCAUAACGAGCGCAACCCCUAUCGACAGUUGCUAACGAGUCGAGUCGAGGACUCUGUCGAGACUGCCGGCGCAAGCUGUGAGGAAGGCGGGGAUGACGUCAAAUCAGCACGGCCCUUACGUCCGGGGCGACACACGUGUUACAAUGGCAGGGACAGCGGGAAGCCACCAAGCGAUUGGGCGCGGAACCCGAAACCCUGUCUCAGUUCGGAUUGGAGUCUGCAACUCGACUCCAUGAAGCUGGAUUCGCUAGUAAUCGCGCAUCAGCCAUGGCGCGGUGAAUACGUUCCCGGGCCUUGCACUCACCGCCCGUCAAG